rnacentral:rRNA from 1 species
CUGGCCUUGACAUCCAGAGAACUUUCCAGAGAUGGAUUGGUGCCUUCGGGAACUCUGAGACAGGUGCUGCAUGGCCGUCGUCAGCUCGUGUCGUGAGAUGUUGGGUUAAGUCCCGUAACGAGCGCAACCCCUAUCCCUGGUUGCUAGCAGGUAAUGCUGAGAACUCCAGGGAGACUGCCGGUGACAAACCGGAGGAAGGUGGGGAUGACGUCAGGUCAUCAUGGCCCUUACGGCCAGGGCUACACACGUGCUACAAUGGCGCGUACAGAGGGCUGCCAACUCGCGAGAGUGAGCCAAUCCCUUAAAACGCGUCGUAGUCCGGAUCGGAGUCUGCAACUCGACUCCGUGAAGUCGGAAUCGCUAGUAAUCGCGUAUCAGAAUGUCGCGGUGAAUACGUUCCC